UUGCAAUGAUGAAUCAGAUUCCAAAGCCAUUCGUAGUUUCCACCAGAAGUCUAAUGAUGGCCAAAACCUUCCUUGGAUGUCUGAGCGA
rfam:Caprimulgus carolinensis contig33630, whole genome shotgun sequence.